AAAAACUUUCGGAGCAAAACUUGGCAAACUUGAAAAGCACGGUGGGUUAUGGUUCGGCCGGCCUGUUCAAUGCUACUUGCGAGCCCUGUUUUCACGAAAACCCUGUGUGAACCGUAAUAUUUAUUCCAUCCACGUAAUAAGAAAUUUCUAGUCUAAAGUCUUCUUCAUAUCACAAAGAAUAUGAUAAAAA
rnacentral:misc_RNA from 1 species